AAACAAAAAAUGGCGAAAACAAGAGUUAGCUUUAUGAGUUUUCUUGUUUUAGCAAUGGUUGUCGUUUUAUUUCCAUCCCAAAUUAAGGCACUAAUGCCAUACACACGCCCCUUUUGGGACAUAGCAUUUCCUCCCGAAGAUCCUUUCAGAAUUCUUGAACAAACCCCAUUGACUAUCCCAAAAGGGGUUGAAUCAAUCGCUUUAACUCGAUCAGAUUGGAAGGAAACAGCAACAGAGCAUGUAAUUACACUUGACAUUCCAGGGAUGAAGAAGGAAGACGUUAAAAUUGAGGUGGAAGAAAACAGAGUGUUGAGAGUCAGUGGAGAAAGGAAAACAGAGGAAGAAAUUGAAGGGGAGAAAUGGCACAGAGCUGAAAGAACUUGUGGGAAAUUCUGGAGACAGUUUAGAUUACCUGGAAAUGCUGAUUUGGAACACAUUAAGGCACAUUUGGAAAAUGGUGUUCUGAAAAUUACUGUACCAAAAUUGGCUGAA
rnacentral:misc_RNA from 1 species